rnacentral:rRNA from 1 species
AUAACAAUACAGGACUCUUUCGAGGCCCUGUAAUUGGAAUGAGUACACUUUAAAUCCUUUAACGAGGAUCUAUUGGAAGGCAAGUCUGGUGCAGAGCAACUGACCCGUGCGUGCUGCAGCUAAAACUCCACUAUCGGAGUUCCAC